rnacentral:rRNA from 1 species
ACGAACGCUGGCGGCGUGCCUCAUACAUGCAAGUUGAGCGCUGAAGGUUGGUACUUGUACCAACUGGAUGAGCAGCGAACGGGUGAGUAACGCGUGGGGAAUCUGCCUUUGAGCGGGGGACAACAUUUGGAAACGAAUGCUAAUACCGCAUAAAAACUUUAAACACAAGUUUUAAGUUUGAAAGAUGCAAUUGCAUCACUCAAAGAUGAUCCCGCGUUGUAUUAGCUAGUUGGUGAGGUAAAGGCUCACCAAGGCGAUGAUACAUAGCCGACCUGAGAGGGUGAUCGGCCACAUUGGGACUGAGACACGGCCCAAACUCCUACGGGAGGCAGCAGUAAGGAAUCUUCGGCAAUGGACGAAAGUCUGACCGAGCAACGCCGCGUGAGUGAAGAAGGGUUUCGGAUCGUAAAACUCUGUUGGUAGAGAAGAACGUUAGUGAGAGUGGAAAGCUCAUCAAGUGACGGUAACUACCCAGAAAGGGACGGCUAACUACGUG